rnacentral:tRNA from 1 species
GUUAAGGUGGCAGAGCCCGGUAAUUGCAAAAGACCUAAGCCCUUUCUACCAGAGGUUCAACUCCUCUUCUUAACU